UAACGGCGAGUGAACCGGGAAGAGCUCAAAUUUGAAAUCUGGCGUCCUCAGGGCGUCCGAGUUGUAAUCUAUAGAGGCGUUUUCCGUGCCGGACCGUGUCCAAGUUCCUUGGAACAGGAUAUCAAAGAGGGUGACAAUCCCGUACUUGACACGACGACCGGUGCUCUGUGAUACGUCUUCUACGAGUCGAGUUGUUUGGGAAUGCAGCUCAAAAUGGGUGGUGAGUUCCAUCUAAAGCUAAAUAUUGGCGAGAGACCGAUAGCGAACAAGUACCGUGAGGGAAAGAUGAAAAGCACUUUGGAAAGAGAGUUAAACAGUACGUGAAAUUGUUGAAAGGGAAACGAUUGAAGUCAGUCGUGACCGAGAGGCUCAGCCGGUUCUGCCGGUGUAUUCCCCUCGGUCGGGUCAACAUCAGUUUUGUCCGGUGGAUAAGGACGGUAGGAAGGUGGCACCCUCGGGUGUGUUAUAGCCUGCCGUCGCAUACAUCGGGUGAGACUGAGGAACGCAGCUCGCCUUUAUGGCCGGGGUUCGCCCACGUCCGAGCUUAGGAUGUU
rnacentral:rRNA from 1 species